rnacentral:rRNA from 1 species
UAACGCCGUAAACCCAAGGUUUCCUACGCGAUGCUCGUCAUCGUAGGGUUAGUCGGGUCCUAAGUCGAGUCCGAAAGGGGUAGACGAUGGCAAAUUGGUUAAUAUUCCAAUACCAACAUUAGUGUGCGAUGGAAGGACGCUUAGGGCUAAGGGGGCUAGCGGAUGGAAGUGCUAGUCUAAGGUCGUAGGAGGUUGUACAGGCAAAUCCGUAUAACAAUACUCCGAGAACUGAAAGGCUUUUUGAAGUCUUCGGAUGGAUAGAAGAACCCCUGAUGCCGUCGAGCCAAGAAAAGUUUCUAAGUUUAGUUAAUGUUGCCCGUACCGUAAACCGACACAGGUGGGUGGGAUGAGUAUUCUAAGGCGCGUGGAAGAACUCUCUUUAAGGAACUCUGCAAAAUAGCACCGUAUCUUCGGUAUAAGGUGUGGUUCGCUUCGUAUUAGGAUUUACUCCGAAAGCGAAGAAACUUACAACAAAGAGUCCCUCCCGACUGUUUACCAAAAACACAGCACUCUGCUAACUCGUAAGAGGAUGUAUAGGGUGUGACGCCUGCCCGGUGCUCGAAGGUUAAUUGAUGGGGUUAGCAUUAGCGAAGCUCUUGAUCGAAGCCCGAGUAAACGGCGGCCGUAACUAUAACGGUCCUAAGGUAGCGAAAUUCCUUGUCGGUUAAAUACCGACCUGCAUGAAUGGCGUAACGAGAUGGGAGCUGUCUCAAAGAGGGAUCCAGUGAAAUUGUAGUGGAGGUGAAAAUUCCUCCUACCCGCGGCAAGACGGAAAGACCCCGUGGACCUUUACUACAGCUUGACACUGCUACUUGGAUAAGAAUGUGCAGGAUAGGUGGGAGGCUUUGAGUAUAUGACGCCAGUUGUAUAUGAGCCAUUGUUGAGAUACCACUCUUUCUUAUUUGGGUAGCUAACCAGCUUGAGUUAUCCUCAAGUGGGACAAUGUCUGGUGGGUAGUUUGACUGGGGCGGUCGCCUCCCAAAUAAUAACGGAGGCUUACAAAGGUUGGCUCAGAACGGUUGGAAAUCGUUCGUAGAGUAUAAAGGUAUAAGCCAGCUUAACUGCAAGACAUACAAGUCAAGCAGAGACGAAAGUCGGUCUUAGUGAUCCGGUGGUUCUGUGUGGAAGGGCCAUCGCUCAAAGGAUAAAAGGUACCCCGGGGAUAACAGGCUGAUCUCCCCCAAGAGCUCACAUCGACGGGGAGGUUUGGCACCUCGAUGUCGGCUCAUCGCAUCCUGGGGCUGGAGCAGGUCCCAAGGGUAUGGCUGUUCGCCAUUUAAAGCGGUACGCGAGCUGGGUUCAGAACGUCGUGAGACAGUUCGGUCCCUAUCUGCCGUGGGCGUAAGAAGAUUGAAGAGAUUUGACCCUAGUACGAGAGGACCGGGUUGAACAAACCACUGGUGUAGCUGUUGUUCUGCCAAGAGCAUCGCAGCGUAGCUAAGUUUGGAAAGGAUAAACGCUGAAAGCAUCUAAGCGUGAAGCCAACUCUAAGAUGAAUCUUCUCUAAGCUCUCUAGAAGACUACUAGUUUGAUAGGCUGGGUGUGUAAUGGAUGAAAGUCCUUUAGCUGACCAGUACUAAUAGAGCGUUUGGCUUAUCUUUAAUAAAGCAU